GUGCCAGCAGCCGCGGUAAAACGUAGGAUCCGAGCGUUAUCCGAAUUCACUGGGCGUAAAGCGCGUGUAGGCGGUUUGGUAAGUUGGAUGUAAAAUCUCCUGGCUCAACUGGGAGGGGACGUACAAUACUGUCAGACUAGAGGACGGCAGAGGAAGGUGGAAUUCCCGGUGUAGUGGUGAAAUGCGUAGAUAUCGGGAGGAACACCAGUGGCGAAGGCGGCCUUCUGGGCCGGUCCUGACGCUCAGACGCGAAAGCUAGGGGAGCAAACGGGAUUAGAAACCCCCGUAGUCC
rnacentral:rRNA from 1 species